UGGGGAAUAUUGCGCAAUGGGCGAGAGCCUGACGCAGCGACGCCGCGUGUGGGAGGAAGCCCUUCGGGGUGUAAACCACUGUCAGGGGGGAAGAACUCCGGGUUGGCGAAUAGCCAGGUCGGGUGACGGUACCUCCAGAGGAAGCGCCGGCUAACUCCGUGCCAGCAGCCGCGGUAAGACGGAGGGCGCAAGCGUUGUUCGGAAUUACUGGGCGUAAAGGGCAGGCAGGCGGUGUGUUUAGUCUACUGUGAAAAUCCGGGGCUCAACCCCGGAAAUGCAGUAGAUACUGGCAGACUAGAGACCGGUAGAGGCAAGCGGAAUUCCUGGUGUAGCGGUGGAAUGCGUAGAUAUCAGGAAGAACACCUGUGGCGAAGGCGGCUUGCUGGGCCGGUUCUGACGCUCAUCUGCGAAAGCGUGGGGAGCAAACA
rnacentral:rRNA from 1 species